rnacentral:rRNA from 1 species
ACGGGUGAGUAACGCGUGGGAAUCUACCUUGUAGUGGGGAAUAGCGUUGCGAAAGAGAGGGUAAUACCGCAUGUUUCCAAAUUUAUUUGGAAAAAGACUUCGGUCGCUAUAAGAGGAGCCCGCGUCCUAUCAGGUAGUUGGUGGGGUAAUAGCCUACCAAGCCAAUGACGGGUAGCCGGUGUGAGAGCACGACCGGCCACAAGGUCACUGAAACACGGGGCCUACACCUACGGGUGGCAGCAACCGGGAAUAUUGCGCAAUGGGCGAAAGCCUGACGCAGCGACACCGCGUGUGGGAAGAAGCUUUUCGGAGUGUAAACCACUGUGGCAAGGGAAGAAUUUUUGACGGUACCUUGCUAGAAAGCACCUGCUAACUACGUGCCAGAAGCCUCGGUAAUACGUAGGGUGCAAGCGUUAUCCGGAUUUAUUGGGCGUAAAGAGUUCCGCAGGCGUCUUUACAAGUUUCUUGUUUAAGCCUGAGGCUCAACUUCAGAAAAGCAAGAAAAACUGUAAAGAUUGAGUUUGUUUGGGGAAGCUGGAAUUCUCGGUGGAGGGGUGAAAUCCGUAGAUAUCGAGAGGAACACCAAUCGCGAAGGCAAGCUUCUAAAACAAUACUGACGCUAAGGGACGAAAGCUUGGGUAGCAAAAGGGAUUAGAGACCCCUGUAGUCCAAGCCGUAAACUUUCCUCGCUAGUUGCCUGGUUAAUAAUGCAU